rnacentral:rRNA from 1 species
GGGAGGCAGCAGUGGGGAAUUUUGGACAAUGGGGGCAACCCUGAUCCAGCCAUGCCGCGUGAGUGAAGAAAGCCUUCGGGUUGUAAAACUCUUUCAUCUGGAAAAAAAUANCUUCGCCUAAUACGCGGNGNGGAUGACGGUACCNCCAGAAGAAGCACCGGCUAACUAUGUGCCAGCAGCCGCGGUAAUACAUAGGGUGCGAGCGUUAUUCGGAAUUACUGGGCGUAAAGCGCGCGCAGGCGGUUUUUUAAGUCAGAUGUGAAAUCCCCGGGCUUAACCUGGGAACUGCGUUUGAGACUGCAAGGCUAGAGUGCGGCAGAGGGGGGUGGAAUUCCCCGUGUAGCGGUGAAAUGCGUAGAUAUNUGGAGGAACACCCAUGGCGAAGGCGGCCCCCUGGGUCGACACUGACGCUCAGGCACGAAAGCGUGGGGAGCAAACAGGAUUAGAUACCCUGGUAGUCCACGCCCUAAACGAUGUCAACUAGGUGUUGGGGGAGUUGACUCCCUCAGUACCGCAGCUAACGCGUAAGUUUCCGCCUGGA